rnacentral:rRNA from 1 species
ACGGAGGGGGCCAGCGUUGUUCGGAAUCAUUGGGCGUAAAGGGCGCGUAGGCGGCCGAUCAAGUCGAACGUGAAAUCCCCCGGCUCAACCGGGGACCUGCGUCCGAUACUGCUCGGCUCGAGUCCCGGAGAGGGUAGUGGAAUUCCCAGUGUAGCGGUGAAAUGCGUAGAUACUGGGAGGAACACCGGUGGCGAAGGCGGCUACCUGGACGGGUACUGACGCUGAGGCGCGAGAGCUGGGGGAGCAAACAGGAUUAGAUACCCUGGUAGUCCCAGCUGUAAACGAUGGGCACUUGGUGUUGCGGGUAUCGACCCCUGCAGUGCCGAAGCUAACGCAUUAAGUGCCCCGCCUGGGGAGUACGGUCGCAAGGCUG